AAGUCAGAUGUGAAAGCCUCCUGUUCAACGGGAGAAUUGCAUCUGAAACUACAGAUCUUGAGUGUAGGUGGGGAGAAUGGAACUUCUGGUGGAGCGGUGAAAUGCGUAGAUAUCAGAAGGAACGCCGGCGGCGAAAGCGAUUCUCUGGCCUAUUACUGACACUCAGUGUGCGAAAGCUAGGGGAGCAAACGGGAUUAGAUACCCCGGUAGUCCUAGCCGUAAACGAUGGGCACUAAGUAGAGGGAAUUACCGAUAUUCUCUCUGCCGUAGCUAACGCAUUAAGUGCCCCGCCUGGGGAGUACGGCCGCAAGGCUAAAACUCAAAAGAAUUGACGGGGGCUCGCACAAGCGGUGGAGCAUGUGGCUUAAUUCGAUGCAACGCGAAAAACCUUACCGGGGCUUGACAUGGUAGAAGUAGGAACCCGAAAGGGUAACGAACGGUAUCCAGUCCGUAGCUAUUACAGGUGUUGCAUGGCUGUCGUCAGCUCGUGUCGUGAGACGUUGGGUUAAGUCCCCUAACGAGCGAAACCCUUGUUUUUAGUUGCCAGCGGGUUGUGCCGGGCACUCUAGAAAGACUGCCGUCGUCAAGACGGAGGAAGGUGGGGAUGACGUCAAGUCAUCAUGGCCCUUAUGCCCCGGGCUGCACACGUGCUACAAUGGUCGGUACAAACGGAAGCGAAG
rnacentral:rRNA from 1 species